rnacentral:rRNA from 1 species
UGGGGAAUCUUACGCAAUGGGCGAAAGCCUGACGCAGCAACGCCGCGUGCGGGAAGAAGGCUUUCGGGCUGUAAACCGCUUUCAGCAGGAACGAAAAUGACGGUACCUGCAGAAGAAGGAGCGGCCAACUAUGUG